UUACUACAUUAUGUAAUGGAAGGGAAGCUGUGGAUAGCUUCUUGGGGGUUUAAGGGAAGCUGAGUCUACAAGGAAGCACUUUGGAAAAAGAGGGUUUUCUGAGUGUUAGAGGUGAGAAUUGUAUGAUGAAUGGAGGAGAAAAGAUAGUGAAAUCUGAGUAAUUGAGCAGAAGGCCUGGGGGAUGAGAGGACUGAAGAAAUAAACCUUCAGGCCAAGGUGCCUUGUAAAUAGGACAGGUGCAGCGUUCAAAAGCGAAGGGACCUAAAAAAGGUGGGUCCUUGGAAAGUGGGAGAGAAGAUGACUAUAAAGAUCCCAGGAAGGAAGGUGUUUUAAGGUCAGAUUGUAUAGGGGAGAGGCUGUCCCUGAGCUGCUAUUGGGAGGAGGAUGGAACUGGAAGAGGAAAUGCGUAAGCUGUCUGUGUGCCUUCCAAGGAGACAUCUAACAAAUCUGUUCAACUAGUCCUCGAUACUGUGAUCACAGGAGGUUAAAAACCAUCCCCAGUUUCAUCUCUUCUUUUCCAGGUAACAAGUGUACAUUUAAACAGUGGCUUUUUAUGGAAACAAUAUUCUAGCUUUCGU
rnacentral:lncRNA from 1 species